rnacentral:rRNA from 1 species
AGAGUUUGAUCCUGGCUCAGGAUGAACGCUAGCUACAGGCUUAACACAUGCAAGUCGAGGGGCAGCAUGGUCUUAGCUUGCUAAGGCCGAUGGCGACCGGCGCACGGGUGAGUAACACGUAUCCAACCUGCCGUCUACUCUUGGACAGCCUUCUGAAAGGAAGAUUAAUACAAGAUGGCAUCAUGAGUCCGCAUGUUCACAUGAUUAAAGGUAUUCCGGUAGACGAUGGGGAUGCGUUCCAUUAGAUAGUAGGCGGGGUAACGGCCCACCUAGUCUUCGAUGGAUAGGGGUUCUGAGAGGAAGGUCCCCCACAUUGGAACUGAGACACGGUCCAAACUCCUACGGGAGGCAGCAGUGAGGAAUAUUGGUCAAUGGGCGAGAGCCUGAACCAGCCAAGUAGCGUGAAGGAUGACUGCCCUAUGGGUUGUAAACUUCUUUUAUAAAGGAAUAAAGUCGGGUAUGGAUACCCGUUUGCAUGUACUUUAUGAAUAAGGAUCGGCUAACUCCGUGCCAGCAGCCGCGGUAAUACGGAGGAUCCGAGCGUUAUCCGGAUUUAUUGGGUUUAAAGGGAGCGUAGGCGGACGCUUAAGUCAGUUGUGAAAGUUUGCGGCUCAACCGUAAAAUUGCAGUUGAUACUGGGUGUCUUGAGUACAGUAGAGGCAGGCGGAAUUCGUGGUGUAGCGGUGAAAUGCUUAGAUAUCACGAAGAACUCCGAUUGCGAAGGCAGCCUGCUAAGCUGCAACUGACAUUGAGGCUCGAAAGUGUGGGUAUCAAACAGGAUUAGAUACCCUGGUAGUCCACACGGUAAACGAUGAAUACUCGCUGUUUGCGAUAUACUGCAAGCGGCCAAGCGAAAGCGUUAAGUAUUCCACCUGGGGAGUACGCCGGCAACGGUGAAACUCAAAGGAAUUGACGGGGGCCC